rnacentral:rRNA from 1 species
CAGUAGCCGCGGGAAAACAGAGGAUGCAAGCGUUAUCCGGAAUGAUUGGGCGUAAAGCGUCUGUAGGUGGCUUUUCAAGUCCGCUGUCAAAUCCCAAGGCUCAACCCUGGACAGGCGGUGGAAACUACCAAGCUGGAGUACGGUAGGGGCAGAGGGAAUUUCCGGUGGAGCGGUGAAAUGCGUAGAUAUUAGGAAGAACACCAGUGGCGAAGGCGACUUUCUGGACGAAAACUAACGCUGAGGCGCGAAAGCCAGGGGAGCGAACGGGACUAGAGACCCCAGUAGUCCCUGUCUCUUAUAC